CCUACGGGAGGCUGCAGUGGGGAAUAUUGGGCAAUGGGCGCAAGCCUGACCCAGUAACGCCGCGUGAAGGAAGAAGGCUUUCGGGUUGUAAACUUCUUUUCUCAGGGACGAAGCAAGUGACGGUACCUGAGGAAUAAGCCACGGCUAACUACGUGCCAGCAGCCGCGGGAAUACGUAGGUGGCAAGCGUUAUCCGGAUUUACUGGGUGUAAAGGGCGUGUAGGCGGGAAAGCAAGUCAGAUGUGAAAACCAUGGGCUCAACCUGUGGCCUGCAUUUGAACCUGUUUUUCUUGAGUACUGGAGAGGCAGACGGAAUUCCUGGUGUAGCGGUGAAAUGCGUAGAUAUUAGGAGGAACACCAGUGGCGAAGGCGGUCUGCUGGACAGCAACUGACGCUGAGGCGCGAAAGCGUGGGGAGCAAACAGGAUUAGAUACCCGAGUAGUC
rnacentral:rRNA from 1 species